CACUUCACAGCUAUAGACACUCUAUUCAAUGAAGGAAUUGAGCUUCCGAACGAUGCAACAGUAGGGGCGUUAAGAAGUAUCAUACCUAGAAUUGUGAAGGCUAUCUCUGAUUCCGAAAAAAGUGUCCUUCGCUUUGAGACCCCUGAAUUUAUCGACAGUAAUUCACAUAUCUCUGGCUCCUUUUUCUGUAAUUCUACAUUUGCAAACCGAAAUAUUUGCGUUGAACUGCUACUUCUUGUUAUUGCAGGAGAUAAGUUUGCCUGGUUUAGGGACGCUGAAUUUGCAAGACAAACUCUAGCAGGAAUUAAUCCAUGCGUCAUCAAAUUGGUCACGGUAUGCUCUCCAACUACAUUUUUUUUCUUCUCUAGAUAAAAUACGUAAUCUUGGUAAUUUUCACUUUCUUUUGGUUAGUGUGACAAAUAAUUGGACUUGACGAUUGCUUUGGUAAAACUGAUGAGGAGGAUCAUAUAAUUUUCUCUCUCUCUUAUUAGAAUCAAGUCUCAUUCUUAACUAUAUUUAGCAAGGAAAAUAUUUGGUAGAAACAUACUUCUAAAUAUGACAAAGUAAUCACAGGAAUGGCCAUUGAAGAGUAACCUCGACCCUGAGGUGUACGGGCCAGCUGAAUCAGCAAUCACAACAGAGCUCGUAGAAAAAGAAAUUGGAGGCUGCACGACAGUGGAAAAGGCAUUGGAAGAAAAGAAGCUUUUCAUUAUAGAUUAUCAUGAUGUGUUCUUGCCAUAUGUGAACAAGGUAAGAGAGCUCGAGGGGACAACUCUUUAUGGAUCCAGGACAUUGUUUUACUUAACCUCUGACGGCACAUUGAGGCCUGUUGCAAUCGAGUUAACUCGACCACCAAUAGACGGGAAGCCCCAAUGGAAGCAAGUGUUCAAGCCAACUUGGGAUGCCACUGGUGUUUGGUUGUGGAGGCUUGCAAAGUCUCAUGUCUUGGCUCAUGACUCUGGUUUUCAUGAGUUAGUCACCCACUGGUAAAAGCACUUUUUAUCCCAAAAUUUAUAUUGUCGUACAGCUAAAGGUUGGUUUAUCUUGAAGUUAAAUAAUACUAAAGAGAAAAGAACUCUAAACCGUAGUUCCAACAAGUCUUAUUAUAUGUUCAACAAUUUUGGAGUAGAAUUGAAUGGCCAUAUUUCUGACUCUCAAUUAAUGAAGUCGGAUGGCUCAUCGAAACUUAAAGAUUACCUUGAGAUUGGUCAAUAAAUUCACUCUCAUUUUUGGACAUUUGCAGGUUGCGUAGUCAUGCUUGCACAGAGCCUUACAUAAUUGCAACAAACAGGCAACUAAGUGCAAUGCACCCAAUUUACCGACUGUUGCAUCCUCAUUUACGUUACACGAUGGAAAUUAACGCUUUGGCUCGUGGGGGCCUUAUUAAUGCUGGUGGGAUCAUUGAGCGUGCAUUCUCACCUGGAAAGUAUUCCAUGGAAUUGAGCUCUGUUGCCUAUGACAAACUAUGGCAAUUCAACCUCGAGGGACUACCAGCAGAUUUAAUCAGCAGGUAAAUCAAUUAAUAAAGGUGUUGAAAACGCAUAUAUUGUUGCAGUACGAACUAGGAGCUUCAAUUUAAAAUUAAAAAAAAAUUAAUGGGGUUUGUUUGCAGGGGAAUGGCUGUGGAGGAUCCAACUGCACCUCAUGGUCUGAAACUAACAAUCGAAGACUACCCUUACGCCAAUGAUGGUUUGCUUAUGUGGGAUGCUAUUAAAAAAUGGAUUGCUGACUAUGUUGCUUGCUACUAUCAAGAACCGAGCCUCGUACAAUCAGAUGACGAACUCCAAGCAUGGUGGACAGAGAUUCGAACAGUGGGCCAUGGGGAUAAGAAGGAUGCAACAUGGUGGCCAGAGCUAAAAACUCCCGAAGAUUUGGUUGGAAUUUUGACGACUAUCAUAUGGGUAGCUUCGGGUCAUCAUGCUGCUGUAAACUUUGGUCAAUUUGAUUUCGGUGCAUACUUUCCGAACAGGCCUACCAUUGCUCGAACACAAAUGCCAACUGAAGACCCGAACGAUGAAGCAACGAAACAAUUCAUGGAGAGGCCUGAGGAGUUCCUGCUAAAGAGCUUCCCUUCACAAAUUCAAGCUACAAUAAUUAUGGCCAUUAUUGAUGUACUGUCAACUCAUUCGCCCGAUGAGGAGUAUAUCGGAGAGAAAAUUCAGCCGUAUUGGGCAGAUGAUAAAGUUAUUACGGCUGCAUUUGAACGGUUUAAUGGAAGAAUGAAGGUGAUCGAAGGGAUUAUUGAUGCUAGAAAUGCAGACACGAAUUUGAGGAACAGGGUAGGUGCUGGAGUGGUGCCGUACCAGCUUCUCAAGCCGUUUUCUGAAGCUGGUGUCACCGGAAAGGGUGUCCCGAAUAGUGUUUCUAUUUAAUUACGGGUUUUCGAUCAUCUCUUUUCGUCUUAUUUUUUGUGAUGUACAAGUCCUGCAUUGUCUUUUCUGAACUGCGUUAACGCAUUGUUUAAAUGCUUCAUUUUCAAGAAAAUCAUAUUGAAAAGUAUUAACAAUGUUUUCUUCAUUCUUAGUAGUUUUACUAGGAAGCUUAUGUGCAACUCUUUUUCUUUAUCAUAUUAUUUUUUUCUAAAAAAUAAAUUAUUUAUUUUUCCACAACCUGAUAAAUAUUUUUGGAUUAAAUACACUUUGCACCCCUGAAGUAUAGCAUUUGUAACACUUACGCCUUAAAGUAUCAUUUGAAACGCUUACCCGCCUAACAUCAAUUAUUUUAUGGCGACGGAUAUAUACAAGCCUAUUUUUUUAUUAGUUUCAAAACCACAUAAAGGGGUUUAUUAGUUCAAGCCUCUAAAUUAAUUUAAUUUUAUUACAUCAAGACCAAAGAGGACGAAAAUACCCUUAUCCACAAAUAAUACCCAAAUACAAACAAACUCUAUUUUUAAUUUGUUCAAGACCCAAAAAUCAAAAAAAAAAAAAAAAAAAAAAAAAACACUCUAGACUGCCACCGCAACGCCAACCAGCGAAACUUCCACCACGCUGACGACGACCAGCGACCUACCCACCGCACCACCACCAAAAAGUAAGUCAUUUUUACUAAACUUUUGUUUGUAAAUUCUAAAAUAUUAAUCGAGCAUCGAUUCUUCAUAAAUAUGGGUGGAUGAAUAUUAAUCUAUGCUUAUUUCUUGUUGGGUUGCAAUGCUUUAGCCGAUUUUGGAAAAAAAUUUGAGAUUUGUGUGUUUUCGUUGGUUUCCCAAAUCGGUUUACCCAGACCGAUUUUGUACACAAAAAUCGGCGUCAUAAUGCCGAUUUUUGUUAACUAAAUCGGCGUCACAACGUCGACUUUACAAGUAAAAGCGGCGUUGUAGUGCCGAUUUUUUUUUUUUAAUAUUUUGUGUUUUUAUUUGGUUUUGAAUUCCAUUAAGGGUAAAUUAGUAUUUUUAUGUUGAAGGUCUUGAACUAAUAAAAAAAUGGGCUUGCAUAUAUCCGCCGCUCUAUUUUAUAUUUUAAAAUUGAAACAUAAUAAACAUAACAAUCUAAUAAUUAUUGGAUCAUAAAAUUAACUAAAUUAAAUUAUUGGAAAAGAAUUAAAAUAAAUAUAUAUAUUGUAUAAUAAUGAAUGAAUAUAUAUUUUAAGAAAUAAAUAAACUAAAAUAAACUUAAAAGAUUACUAUUAGUUAAGUAUUGAUUUCUUAAAAUUUAUCGAUAUACAUAUAUUCGAUUAAUUGGUUCAACAACAAUUAGAUAUUAUUUAUUAAAUACGCACCCCACGCAAGAUAAUAUUUUUAAAUUUUAAAAUAUUGCAUUUCUCAAACAAAUAUUUUUAGUUGUAUAGUUUAAUUAUUCUUUUAGUUAUUCAUUAAAUAAAAGAGCAAAUUUUAAGGUAUUAGUAUUUAAAAUACAAAUUAAAUUAUACCUGAGGGAUGUAAGUGUUACAAAUAGUACUUUAAAGGGUAAGUGUUACAGAUAAUAUAAUUUAGGGGUGCAAACUAUAAUUUAUAAAGAAUGAAGCUUCCACCUAACUCGUAAUCCAGCAGCCAUAAGAUAAGACAACUAGUAGAGCCGCCCCGCGGUGUUGUCCAAUUGUCAACGGUCAACCGAAUACAUACAUACAUACAUGUUCAUAUAUAAUAUAUUCGAUCUAUGCAUACAUAUUAAAAUUAUUACAAAGUCCUCUGCAUUUGGUGAAUGUGAUUAGCAUGUUACAAUUUACUAUUCUUAUCUACACGUGCUGGAUCGUGAUUGGUUGAUCACAUACCUGUUUUUUCAAUUUCCCGGCUUUUAAAUUUCUAGUGGGGUUGAAACUUUCGCUCAUACACCUUUUUUUAUUGGAAAAUUAUACAUUUGACCCCCUGUACAUUAUAAUCUAUACAAUUAGUUCCAAAUAACAGUCUACAAAUUAAAAGGCUAAUUAGUGGAAUAUUUACAACUCGAAGUUGAACGAUCUUGUUAAUUUUUUUUUUAAUUCGAGUUAAUUAAUCACAGAAGGUUUGUCUAAUGUGAUUUACGUCUCUCUGUGUGAUUUUAUUGGCUAUUGUUUGCACGUUAUGAGUUCCUCGUUUGGUUCAAAAUUAGAUUUAAAAUAAAAACGUGCUAUUUUGUAAGUAAUUGGUCUUAUCAUGACAACUACACCUAUCUUUAAAUUAGGACAAUAAUAUCCUUUUGCAUUGUCUAUAUAAAAGCAAGGGCUAAAAGUAUUAUUCUUACAUCACCAAAAUACUGAAUCCCACUCUGAUAUCUCUCACAAUAUUCAUCUUUCCUUUAAUUAUAUUGUUUCAUUUUCAAAAUAUCCCAAUAAAAAAAGAAAAAAAAAAUACAAUGUCGAACAACUCCACCUCGACCGGAGUAGUAAAAGCUGCUGCACCAACCACGGUUAAAGCGGUGGUCACUGUGGUGCAGACGGUGACGGGGGCCGUCGGCCGCCUCGGAAUUAGCGGCGUGCUCGAUUUUAUAACCCAGCUGUUCGGUGAAAACCUUGUCAUCGAGCUUGUUGCUGCAGAACUCGAUCCCGGUGAGUAUUUACAUAUAUACACAUACAUAUAUAUAGGUGUAGGUUAUAAUGCUUGCUUGAUAUAUAUUGCAUGAAAAUUAUAUAUAUAUAUAUAUAUAUUUUCUUCGAUCUAAACAUUUAUAAAAGUGUAACUUACAGGCCUCUAUGCUGCUAAAUUUCCGUCGGUAAUCGCAUUUAGCAGCAGAUUUUGAUAGAUUAACAUAAAAUUCCGUCGGUAAAGCCAUGUUUACUUGCAGUGAUUAAUUAUAUUUGUGCAUAGACGAUCGAGUAGUAAAUAGCUUUUUUCCAGAGAAAUUAAUAUAUUGCUAAAAUAAAAUAAGAUUGACCAAUACAUCUUUGCUGCAUUAUAUUACAAAAGAUAUAUUGUUGAUAGGUGCCACAAAAAUAUGUAGGGUAGCCUGCAUAAUAGUGGAUAAUAAUUAUAAAGAUAUAUUAUAAAUUAAUGUUUUGUAUUUGUAUGACUUGGCUUGGAUCGGAAUAUGAUGUUAAUUAUGUCAACAACUUAUAACUUAAUUCAAAUUAAAUUUUUAUUUAAUUUGUAAUCAAAUCAGUGACCAAAUUGAUCUCUCUAUUUUUUUGUGCAAUGAAAAAAAAAACUCGUAAUUAACUAUAUAAGUGCAUUAGUUAAAUCUACACUUUUGUAUAAUAGUUAACCUGAUCUCUUGAUUCAAUCGAGAGUAGUUCAAUAAUCGUCCAUCUAAUCAGUUAUAUGCAAAUUGACUGUACUUUUAAUUAAUUAAGUGAAGUAAUAAUAUAUAAGUUAAUAAUAUAUAAGUUAAUUACAACUUGUAAUUGUUUAAAUAUAAAAUAGCCAAAAACCAGAAAUAUGAUAACAUGCAUGCAUGACCUGUAACUGGAAUAUGCUGUUCUGUCAACAAUUUUUUAUUCAUGAAAUUAAAGUACUAAUGUAUAUAUAUAUAUAUCUAUAUAUAUAUAUAUAUAUAUAUAUAUAUAUAUAUCAUCUAAAGUAUUUAUUUAAAGCUAACUAAAUAAAUUGUUCUUUAAAAGUAUGUAAUUGUUAAAAAAAUAUCGUGAGUCAUAUAACUUUUGAUUGUUUUUUAUGAAUAAAAAACAAAUAUAAUUGCAAUUUGCACACCAAAUAACACAUAUUUCUCGUGUAUGUACAUAUAGUAUAUACACAUAUCUAGGUGUAAUCGCAUCUUACUAUUUAUCACACAGGGAUUAAAUUAAAGUAAAAUAGAAGAUGCCAUGUGAUUUUGGGGAAAAAACAAACUGUUAUAUAUAUAUAUAUAUAUAUAUAUAUAUAUAUAUAUAUAUAUAUAUAUAUAUAUAUAUAUAUAUAUAUAUGUAAUUUCACUUUGCACCUUGGAAAUAUAGCCUUUUGACACUUUGUUUCCGUGAAAAAAAUUAAUAGCGUGUUGCACCAUUAAAAUACAAUAAACCGUUCACUAUACACCCCUUCAUUGAAUAUUAAAACUUGUUGAAGCAAAUUUAAUUUUUUUUGGUUUUUUAUUUUCAUUGUAUAACAUUGAAAUUAUUUUUUUUUCCCAGUGCAAAAUAAAAUUAAAUGACACAUGGGUGUUUGUGUGACUAAGUGUAGAUCUACGAUUCAAAUCCACAUAGUGUAAAUAAUCAUAAUUUCCCAUGCAUUAUGCAUGAUUUAUUAUAUUUCGAGGGUGCAAAGUGCUAUUAUUUUAUUUUUUAGGGUACAAAUUGUUAAAAAGCUAUAUCUCAAGGGUGCCAAGCAAAAUUAAGCCUUAAAAUAUUAAUUACUUUGAAUAUGGCCACACAUUAAUAUUUUUUUCAUCAACAGUUGUCAUUUUCUAAUUAGUCUUUAUGGCCAUGGACCACUUCAAAAAAAUAAUAAAUAAAUAAUAAAUAAAUAAUUAAUCAACUUUGGCGUGCUAGGGUAAGAAAAGUACAAUGGAAGUCCACGAAAAUAUUAAUAAAACUUAAUGAACCUUAAUUAUUGUAUAGCAAUAUGCCACUUGACAUGUGGAAGGGUCAAUUUAAUAGCUAGUAGUAGUUUAAUAUUGUUCACCACUUGGUUAAUUACUUUGUCAAAUUUUAUGAUCUAAUUACUAAUUAAUUAAUCAACAUUAUCUUGUCCCUCUAGUUGUUAUAAUUAUUUAUAUAUUUAUCGUACAAGUAUUAUUUUUUUUUAAUCAAGAUUUAAAUAUUUUUUAAUUUGUUCUAGAAACGGGAUUGGAGAAACCUACCGUAAAGGCUAACGGGAGGAGGUCGGGAAGCGAAGACAGUGAAAUCUACUACAAGGCUAGUUUCAAGAUUCCCGAGAAUUUCGGGGAGAUUGGUGCUAUACUAAUUGAGAAUAAACAUUACCAUGAAAUGUUUAUAAAGAGCAUUGUUCUUAGUGGCUUAUCGAGUACGAGUGCGAGUACGAGUGACUCAGUCAAAUUUAGUUGUAACACGUGGGUUCAUCACAGAUCCGAUGGCCUACAAAAGAGAGUCUUUUUCGCAGACAAGGUUAGUAUUAUAUUGCAUGUUCUUUAUUUAAAAAUUGUAAUGUUAUGGUACUAAACUUGAAGUAAAUUAAAAAUGGUUAAAUUACAUUAUACACCUCUAAAGUAUGUUAAAAUAACUUUUAGGUCCAUGUACUAUAUAUAAUUAUAGUCACAUUUCUGAAACAAUUGCCGGAGCCAAGAUUUCAUGUCCUGGAGACCGAUAUGCACUAUAUUUGUUUCAUGCGGGGCCGUUAAUGAUAUCAUAGAAGAAAAUUGAUAAAUUUUAUGUAAAAUUACCGAUACUGCAGGGACCUUAAAAUUAUUUUAGUAUACUUAAGGGGUGUAAGUGUAAUUUACCCAUUAAAAGAAAAAAAAAAAAAAAGACCAUAAAUAAAUAGUGCAGUUUAAUUGUGUUUGACGGCUGUUGACUUGGAACACUAGGGAAAUUUUAUUUUCGAUUUUUGUGUGGAAUAAAUUUAUGUUAUUUUCGAAAAAAAAUUAAUUAAAAAUAAUAAUCGACAAAUUUGUUAAUUAGUCAUAUUUGCCGCGCGAAACUCCAAAUGGGCUGGAAAGGUACAGACAGAAUGAGCUCGAGGUUGUCCGUGGUGACGGCCAAGGGGAGCGCAAAUCCGCCGAAAGAAUCUACGAUUACGAUGUUUACAACGAUCUCGGCGACCCAGAUUCCGACGCUGAUUUGGCCCGACCCGUUCUCGGAGGCCCCGUCCAUCCCUAUCCUCGCCGCAUCAGAACUGGCCGCCCUAAAACUAAGAAAGGUUAGAGAUUGUUUUCGAUUCUUGCCAUGCACACCAUGUGUUUGUUAAAUUGCCGAGCUAAGUUUUGACGUAGUUUUUUGAUGUAAUUUCAAAAAUGUUUGGAUUCAUCUCAAUUUCGUAUUAUGUAAACCGGCAGAUCCAUUGUCUGAGUCACCGGGAUCCAAUAUGUACGUGCCGAGAGAUGAAGAAUUUUCAGAAAUAAAGAAUCUGCAAUUCUCAGCAGACACUGUAUUCUCAGUCCUUCGUGCACUACUUCCAUCGCUGGAGAGUACGAUCUUAAGCAGUAAUGAAUUCCCACACUUCGCAGCUAUAGACGCUCUAUUCAAUGAAGGAAUUGAGCUUCCGAAUGAUUCAAAAGUAGGGGUGGUAAGAAGUAUUAUACCUAGAAUUGUGAAGGCUAUCUCCAACUCGGGAAAAAGUCUCCUUCGCUUCGAGACCCCUGAAUUCAUCGACAGUAAUUCACAUAUCCCUGCCUCGUUUUUCUGUGUUUCUACAUUUGCAAACUGAAAUCUUUUGCUGGAAAUGGUGCUUUGCGUUGAACUGCUUCUUCUUGUUAUUGCAG
rnacentral:lncRNA from 1 species